rnacentral:rRNA from 1 species
UACGGGGGGGGCAAGCGUUGUUCGGAAUUACUGGGCGUAAAGGGUUCGUAGGUGGCUUGUUAAGUCAGACGUGAAAUCCCUCGGCUCAACCGGGGAACUGCGUCUGAGACUGAUGAGCUCGAGUGCAGGGGAGGAACGCGGAAUUCCAGGUGUAGCGGUGAAAUGCGCAGAUAUCAGGAGGAACACCGGUGGCGAAGGCGGUUCUCUGGGCAUUACCUGACGCUGAGGAGCGAAAGUGUGGGGAGCGAACAGG